rnacentral:sRNA from 1 species
CAGCGACAAUUAUUUGCAAAAACGCGUC